GCAGCACAGCGAAGCCCAAGUUAGGGAGCGAGCGGAGCGCUCCCGCGGCCCCGGAGCCGGAGUGGCCGCGGUGCCCCGGAGCCCGCCCGGCCCCGCCCGCUGGGGCCCUCUCGGGCCCAGGCCGCCGGGAGGGGGGCGGGGACGCCCAACUUGGGGCGCGGCGCAGCCCCGCUCUCCCGAGAUCGCGGAGCCCGGGAAUGCCACGGCGGCGGCCAGACGGCGGGAGAGGAGCGGGGAGAGAGGAGGCGGCCAGCAGCUCCUGAGCCCGGGCCUCCGCAAGAGCGCGAAUUAUUUUCAAAGGACUCAAACUUUCCUCUUUCCCUUGCUGGCUGCGGUCCCUCUUGCUUUGGAACCGUUCUCUGGAUUCCCGCGGGGGCGCCGGGACGCGAUCGCCUCCCCCGGAUUCCUCGGCGGCGGCUCGGCUAACUUCGCGGACUCGGGGACCCGGAGCGCUCGCCCCGCUGCCGAACCUAGUCCUCGCUGCUCCAGCGCUCCAGAGGACCGGGACCCGGCGCCCUCGCCUCCGGGAAGGGCGCCCAGCCCGGCUCCCUUGGGUCGGGCUGCGGAGCCCUCCACACCUACUGCAGGACUGGAGCCAGCGGAUUAACCAAAGCAGAGUCCGGGCCUCCUGGCCUGGCUCCGCGGAGGGGCGUCCCCUGGGCGGGGAAAAGACAAGUUUGUCAGGCAUCGGUGGCCUGUUGGAUCGGAGCGCGGCCGCCGCAGCAGAGAGGUCCCCCCGCGUUCAGCACCCUCGGUGGACAGCCCUGGGGACCUAGGACUGCUCGGUGGCCGAGCUUUCUGGGCCAGGGAGCUGGCUGCUGCGCCCGGUGCGCAGAGGCUUCAAGGUCUGGGGCAGCGCCCCCUGCGUCUCCACCCGGGCAGCCGCCCUGUGGGAAGAGGACAGAGCCGAGUCGCGGCUUGCUCAGACUCCUAGUCUCGGUCGCCGCCCUCUCCGUCGCGACUCAGGGAAAAGGAGGGAACGCAGAGGGCAAAGCGGUGCCCCGGCGGAUGCGCCCCCCGCCGCCUCUCAGGCUGCGCCGCCUCGCGGGGAUGAAGCACUGGCCGUGAAGAUGGAGGUGACCUGUCUUCUACUUCUGGCGCUUAUCCCCUUCCACUGUCGGGGACAAGGAGUCUAUGCUCCAGCCCAGGCCCAGAUUGUGCAUGCGGGGCAGGCCUGUGUGGUGAAGGAGGAUAACAUCAGCGAGCGGGUCUACACCAUCCGGGAGAGCGACACCCUGGUGCUGCAGUGCCUGGUCACGGGACACCCUCGGCCCCAGGUGCGGUGGACCAAAACUGCCGGCAGCGCAUCGGACAAGUUCCAGGAGACGUCGGUCUUCAAUGAGACUCUGCGGAUCGAGCGCAUCGCACGCACGCAGGGAGGUCGCUACUACUGCAAGGCGGAGAACGGAGUGGGCGUGCCGGCCAUCAAGUCUAUCCGCGUGGACGUGCAGUACUUGGAUGAGCCUGUGCUAACGGUGCAUCAGACAGUGAGCGAUGUCCGAGGCAACUUCUACCAGGAGAAGACCGUGUUUCUACGCUGUACCGUCAGCUCCAACCCGCCCGCCCGCUUUAUCUGGAAGCGGGGCUCCGACACCCUGUCCCACAGCCAGGAUAAUGGGGUUGACAUCUACGAGCCUCUCUAUACUCAGGGGGAGACGAAGGUCCUGAAGCUGAAGAACCUGCGGCCCCAAGACUAUGCCAGCUACACCUGCCAGGUGUCCGUGCGCAAUGUGUGCGGCAUCCCAGACAAGGCUAUCACCUUCCAGCUCACCAACACCACGGCACCUCCAGCCUUGAAGCUGUCUGUGAACGAAACUCUGGUGGUGAACCCUGGGGAGAACGUGACAGUGCAGUGUCUGCUGACGGGCGGCGAUCCCCUCCCCCAGCUGCACUGGUCCCACGGACCUGGCCCACUGCCCCUGGGUGCUCUGGCUCAGGGUGGUACCCUCAGCAUCCCUUCAGUGCAGGCCCGGGAUUCUGGCUACUACAACUGCACAGCCACCAACAAUGUAGGCAACCCAGCUAAGAAGACCGUCAACCUGCUGGUGCGAUCCCUGAAGAACGCCACAUUCCAGAUCACCCCCGACAUGAUCAAAGAAAGCGAGAACAUUCAACUCGGUCAGGACCUGAAGCUGUCAUGCCAUGUGGAUGCGGUGCCCCAGGAGAAGGUGAACUAUCAGUGGUUUAAAAACGGCAAGCCGGCACGCACAUCCAAGCGGCUGCUGGUGACCCGAAAUGACCCCGAGUUGCCCGCUGUCACCAGCAGCCUGGAGCUCAUUGACCUGCACUUCAGUGACUACGGCACUUAUCUGUGCAUGGCUUCCUUCCCAGGGUCACCAGUGCCUGACCUCAGCAUAGAGGUCAACAUUUCCUCAGAGACAGUACCACCCACCAUCAGUGUGCCCAAGGGCCGAGCAGUGGUGACAGUGAGGGAGGGCUCUCCUGCUGAGCUCCAGUGCGAAGUUCGUGGCAAGCCCCGGCCUCCAGUGCUAUGGUCUCGGGUGGACAAGGAGGCCGCCCUUCUGCCCUCGGGGCUGGCCCUGGAGGAGACUCCGGAUGGGAAGCUGCGGCUGGAGAGUGUGAGCCGCGACAUGAGCGGCACCUACCGCUGCCAGACAGCUCGCUACAAUGGCUUCAACGUACGACCCCGGGAGGCUCAGGUGCAGCUGACAGUGCACUUUCCUCCAGAGGUGGAGCCCAGUUCCCAGGACGUGCGCCAGGCGCUGGGCCGGCCUGUGCUCCUGCGCUGCUCGCUUCUGCGUGGCAGUCCUCAGCGCAUCGCCUCGGCCGUGUGGCGCUUCAAAGGACAGCUGCUGCCCCCACCGCCUGUUCUCCCCGCCGCUGCUGUGGAGACCCCCGAUCACGCCGAGCUGCGCCUGGACGCCCUGACCCGUGACAGCAGCGGCAACUACGAGUGCAGCGUCUCCAACGACGUGGGCUCAGCCACCUGCCUCUUCCAGGUCUCCGCCAAAGCCUACAGCCCGGAGUUUUACUUCGACACCCCCAACCCCACCCGCAGCCACAAGCUGUCCAAGAAUUACUCCUAUGUGCUACAGUGGACACAGAGAGAGCCCGAUGCUGUGGACCCCGUGCUCAACUACAGACUCAGCAUCCGACAGUUGAACCAGCACAAUGCCAUGGUCAAGGCCAUCCCCGUUCGUCGUGUGGAGAAGGGACAGCUGCUGGAGUAUAUCUUGACUGACCUCCGAGUACCCCACAGCUAUGAGAUCCGCCUCACACCCUACACCACCUUUGGGGCUGGUGACAUGGCUUCCCGCAUCAUCCACUACACAGAGCGUAGCUAUCAACUUGCCCAGCCUGUCAGACAACACCUGUCACUUUGAGGAUGAGAAAAUCUGCGGCUACACCCAGGAUCUGACAGACAACUUUGACUGGACGCGGCAGAAUGCUCUUACCCAGAACCCCAAGCGCUCUCCUAAUACUGGGCCCCCUACUGACAUCAGUGGCACCCCUGAAGGCUAUUACAUGUUCAUUGAGACAUCCAGACCCAGGGAGCUGGGGGACCGUGCAAGGCUGGUGAGUCCCCUGUACAACGCCAGUGCCAAGUUCUACUGUGUCUCUUUCUUCUACCACAUGUAUGGGAAACACAUCGGCUCCCUCAACCUUCUGGUGCGGUCCAGGAACAAAGGCACUCUAGACACGCAUGCCUGGUCCCUCAGUGGCAAUAAGGGUAACGUGUGGCAGCAGGCCCAUGUACCCAUUAACCCCAGUGGGCCCUUCCAGAUUAUUUUUGAGGGGGUUCGAGGCUCGGGCUACCUGGGGGAUAUUGCCAUAGAUGAUGUCACACUGAAGAAGGGAGAGUGUCCCCGGAGGCAGAUGGAUCCCAACAAAGUGGUUGUGAUGCCAGGCAGCGGAGCCCCACGCCUGUCCAGCCUGCAACUUUGGGGAUCCAUGGCCAUCUUCCUCUUGGCGUUGCAAAGAUGAUGAGAGCUGUGUGGCCCCCACCCCGCCCUGCCCCCGGCACACCAAAGUGUCCACAUCGUACCAAAGACUGACCCCUGCCAGCCGGGGUGCCUAGGGGCGGGGCCAGCCCACCAGGGAGGGGGCCUUCAUUGGCUACAUUGAUGAGCAGAGAACUCGGACAGAGGCCAAGCCAGGCUCUGGUGGUUGUUCAACACACGCACACACUCACACUCACUCUCACCACAGAUAUAUUAAAGCACAAGUUUUUAUUCGACCUGCCAGCACCUUCUUUACUGUGGAGAUGGGACUUAUGUGAAUGGCGUCCACCACCUCCAGGGACCUUGGUGCGACACGGGACUCAUCUUGUCUGCACACUGCGCUGUGUCUGUCUGACCUUGCCUUGUCCCCUGACUCAAGGCCGAACUCCAGCCCAGAGGCUUGCCAGAAGGGAGCCGGAUGUGGGCAGAAUAUCAGACUUGGGCUGCCUGGAUGGAGGUCACAGGGUGCAGAGGCAGGCCAGUCGGGACUCCGUGAGCUCUCCGACUGCCCCUUGAUCAGAGGCUGACAAGGAAGGGGCACCUGCUGCAGAGUGGACACAUUGCUCAACUCAGAUCCCCCGACCUGUUCCUAGGACUCCCUCUUGCCCUCCCCACUGUACCCACUUGGGAGGGCCCGCAGCACAGGGCUUAGGGUAUGUGCAGUAUGAGGACUCUCUCCCACCUUCUACCUGACUCUGAUCAGCCACUAGAUGCCACUCCAGAGAGUCCCAGCUUGGGACUUCCAGGAACAGGGGUCGCUGAUGUGUGAGGAGUGGUGUCCAUAUUAUAUCCCCAGGUGAGCGUUGGCAUUGGGGAGCACAGAGCCUGGCCUCUGUGACCCCAUGUCCCCACAGAGAACAUGAAGUCACAGUGGAGUGGAUCCCCUGUUUCUUAGGUAUUUGAUCAGAGAGUUCUGGAAGAGUGGACUGGGGAGGAUAAGACACUGUCUAGUCAGCCCUGUGGAGUACAGGGGUGAAGGAGGGAGAUGGAUGGAGGUGGUUGCGUCUCUUUGUUCCCUGGGAGCUGAGAAGAGGUUCUUGUCCUUGGAACUGUUAGGAUAGGGUCUAGAACUUUCCUCUUUGGGUCCCUUUACCCACUACCUAGCUUCCACAGGAGAGCAGAAUCCUAAUCUCUGUGUGUCCAUGUUUGAGUGUGUCUGUAUGUGCAUCUCUGCAGGUGUGAGAGCAUGUGUGCCCAUCUGUGUCCAUGUACCACUGUGCGCAUCAUUGGAUGGGAGCGUGCAGGAACACGAGGUAGGGCAUAGUAAACCCUGUCUCUGUGGGUGAGUGGCAGCGGGCAAUCUUCACCUCAAUGACAUGUUUGUGGGGUGCUGGCCCUGUCUGCAGUCUCAGAUUGCCUGCUACGGCCUUUCAACCCCCUUUGGAUGACAAAGAGCUUACAGAUGACCCUAUUGAAGGCUAGCUCCUUGGCUGGAGGUGUGGCACAGGGCUCUUCCCUGUGCAUCGUGGGGGUCAGCCUCAGGGAAGAGGCUGGAACCCCAGCUUCAUCGCAGCACCCGGAGGCUCACUGAGGAUCGAGACCCUUGCUGCUUAGCCCUCAACCCCACCUGGCUUGUAUCAUCAUCACCACCACCACCAUCACCAUCUUCCUCAUCCUCAUCAUCACCACCAUCAUCACUGGCUGCUAGAAGGUCAGGCCAGGCUACAGCAGGGCAUCCUGGUACCCAAUCAGUGUGGCCGCCUUCCUGGCCCUUCAAGCCCUUUGUCCGAAGUGAGUUGCUCUGUUUGCAGAAUAAGAUUCUGUGACAUCUGCAGGGUAUUGCUCCUUAAUUAUCCCAUCUGUGCCGAGUCUACUAGCCCAACUAGACUGUGAGUCCCUCCCACUCUGAGCCCCUCCUUCAUUCUUGCUCACGAGGGACACUAGAGUAGAAACCUUGUAGAACGGAUUCUAUAAGCCAGUAGUCCCUGGCCCUGGCUAAAGAAUCAACUGAUCAGGGGUCAGCCUGAGUGUAGGGUGUGAUUUAACAUCAUGGGAACACAGCCUGGUAUUAGAAACAUUAAGAAACCUCUUAGGACAACCCAAGAGGGGAAGCCAGGGUCGUCUCAACUCCAGGGCCUCUGAGUCAGUGCUAUGUUGGACAAACAGCUCCCUCCGCUCCUCCUGGGGUUCCUGCUUCACCCUAAGCCUGCUCCCCCAUAUUGGCCCACUGUCCUGACUGCUUUAUUGUGGGGACUCCUCCUUCUGUAUCUUAGAGCUGGACACAGGAAAGGUUCAUAGUAUGUGUAGGCCCCAUGUUCCAGAACCUUCUUUGUGGUGAGAGCAGCCAUGCCUGAGGGUGUGUGGCCUGAGAUUACAAAGCUUGUUUAAGAAGCCCACCCUCGUGAGCAAGUGAGUGAGGCUGGGGUGUGCUAGUCUGUGAGAGCCCACUGUGUGCUGGGGCUGUGUGGUCCUUACGUGUGUGCAUGUACCAGAAGCAUUUGGUCGUGUGCAGGGUUGAGAGUAAGUGUAACUGUAGGGCAGGAGCCUUUUGCACAUGGACGCCUGUGAGCCUACAUUCCUGUAUGUUUGAGUGUGGGGUCCAUGUUGGGGUAGGUAGCCUGUGAACACCCCGGUUCCAGGAGACCAGGCUAAAGGGAUUGAGCGGAUCUCUACAGUGGCAGCCUCACUCUCUUUGCUGGGGAAACUGAGGGAAUUUGUGGCCUUAAAGCAGGGAUCCCAGAGUAAAGCUCUCAGGGUUCUGGGUCCUUUUACUCCUGGCCCCUACAAGUUAGUGUCUGGGAAGAGGAAGGCAUUCUUGGGACCAGGCAGUAAAGAACAGCUGAUGGGUGGUAGCCUCAGCUCGGCUGUCCUGCCCCUUGGGACCACAGUUAGUUAACCUACAUGCCUCAUUCAUCCAUGAAGACAAAGCCUGCUGCUCCUGGCACACUCCUCCCAUAAUUCCCUCUUUCCCACUCACCAUCCUUCUCCUGUUCUCUGGAAACACCUGUUCAGACUAGCGGGGCCAGAAUGAGCCUCGGAAAUGCAGGCUUUCCACUGCCCAAACGCAGAAGCUGGAACAGAGAUGGGCGGGCCUGGCUCAAUUCUUGGAAGCCUAGUGCUACAGCCCUGGGGAUGUCGUAGCACCGAUCACUGCUCCUGGGAACCUCUUACCAGAAUAGCUACAGACAGCUGAGUGGAACUGACCCUUCUCUGGGUGCUCUCCAUGUUGCCGAGGCCGGUUACAUGUGUGACAGGUGUUACUCGAAUAUUUUGAGAGAGAAACCAUCUUCCUGUCCUACUCUGGCCUCUUCUCCCAGACUGCGGACACCUCGCCCAUGGACAGUACGGUUGCCACAUGGAGACUGUUACUCUCACCACUACUGUCUGCAUAGGCUGGGCCGGGAACGGAGGCUGGCGGAGGCUGGUGUCUCAUCAUCGGGAUCCCCUCCCCAGGACCAGGAGGGCUGCAGAAGACAUGAAGUGCUCUUGGGUUUUCCUCUGAUUGGACAGCUCCAUGGGACUGGGGAGGGUUGUUUCCAGGGAAUGUCCUAGGAGUAUGGUGAAUGAACCUCCCUGUAUGGGAGAGUUCCUGCAGGCCACUGGCUGAGCUCAGAUUCUGGGUUCAUUCCGUUCUGUCAGUACUGGGCAUAUGGGUGUGUGUGUGUGUGUGUGUGUGUGUGUGUGUGUGUGUGUGUGUGUGUGUGUGUGUAUGCAGGAGGGCCACUCUUUUCUGGAGAUCUCUUCACCCUUAGCACUGGAAUGGACCUUAAAGGACAUCGAAUCUGGUGUGCCCACUGUACAGGUGUUAAAACUGAGGUUCAGAGAGAAGGCAUCUGCCUGUCCCCAUCCCUCUCCCUUCCAUGUUUGGCCUGCAUUCAUUGUCCAGGGGUCCUGAUAAAAAUUCUCUCCCUCCUAGCAACUUCCUGCCCUCCACCCACCCAGACAUCCCAUUUCCCCCCUACCCCCAAUCUCAGCCCAGUUCUGCAGGAAGGGGCCUGCUCCAGGGCAUCCCCAACCAUUACCACCCCCUACCCCAGGGAAGUCUGAUCAUCAAAUGCUUAUCCCCAGCCCAUAAGGGACAGGAAAGUAGGGACUAUUCCUGCCCUGGCGCCUCACAGACAGAGGAAAGCCAAUCCUCCCCCCACAUGCCCAGGCCCACUCGUCUGCCCUACCCACCCUGCCACCAAGCUAAAAGCACAACAGGAGACCCCCCACACACACUCAUGGGUGACACGGGGGUCUCUCACGACCCUGACGCACCCUUUUGCCUUGCUCUCUGUCUCCACCCAGCCUCUGUUUUCCACCACCCAUCUUUCGCUCUUCCACAAACCCCAAAAUGUAACCUCUAGUUGCGGACGCGGUUGUUCCAAUCAAUAAAGAUGCAGUGUUCUAGAA